GACAACCAAAUACCAGACGAUUAAUAGUAGCUGUAGAAUAGUUGUACAAGCAGUAGUAGUAAUACUAAAAGUACAAGCAGUAGUAGUAUAAAAUAGCUGUUAGAGUCAUAGAAGUAGUAUCAGCAUUUGUAAUAAUAUUACAAUUUGUAGUAGCAGUGCCAGUAUCAGCAGCAGUAGUUAGUGUACCACCACUACUACUAGUAGUAGUCACAUUGCUAUUACUACCACCAAUACUACCAAUAGUAGUUAUAAAGCCUAACUCAUGUAUAUCCAGAUUACCAUCUAUGUUCUUCCUCCAAACCCAUUUUAUGAUUGGGAUUACAGGCAGUUCUUUAGGACUGCUCUCAAAUAAUUGAAAUGUUACUAACCAAGGUUAUACUGUCAAAUUAAAUAGCUCUGGUCUCCAGUAUAUUGGCGAAUUCGGUUCUUUGUACUUAAUUUAUUAGCAUGAUUUCUUUUUAAUAUGUUGUGUACAGACUUAAUUACUUCUCUGUCUACUUUUCUUACUCCAUGUAGGUUUCCCAGAGACUAUGGGUUGAGGAGGAAUUGGAAGUUUGUCGGCUUAGACCUGGUGUCAUUCCAUCAGUGUUAAACUUCCCGGCUCAUCUUGGAAGAGUACGUGCCAGAAAGACCACAACCAAGCAGCCUUGAGAUCUUAGGCAGCGUCUCCCUCAGGUCCCUCUCUAUCUCCCCACACAUCCACCAACCACUGGAACACAUCUCCAAAGUUCUGCCGGGCUCAGCUUCCCCUCAGAAGAAGUUCCACCAGAUGAAAGAGCCUUUUGAGAGGCAGCUGGCAUCGUGAUUGGACUGUACUUUGGUCUGUUCCAAUCCAGCUUCAGCUCCAGAGACGGCAGGCGGGACGAGUCAACGGAGGCCGGGUGGACGAAGGCAUGCAGCUGAGUACAAUCCAGAAAACAACAGAGGAGGAGUGCAGUGCCAGAAAAAACAGAGUAUGUCUCUUAGAAAACAUCAUAGUAUAGCCUUUGGUAUAAAAACACCAUCAUAUACAUCGUAUAUUGUACAAAUAACAAGUCAAAGGAAAGAGACAUACAUUGUAGAAUUGUAGUAAUUGUGGGCUGACUGAUUUACUGAUUAUCAGUAUUUUAUUUUUUACUGAUUUACAGUAAUAAAUACAUUUAAAAAUGGUGCUACUUUGGCUCUGAACCUUUAUCUACCUGUGGUUGCUCUGUCUUCUGGAGUGAUUUGAUUGGUUAUGCGUCACGAAUAAAACUCCUUUAACUUAACAUCUGUAAACAAAACAAAAACGUAUCAACAAAGUUUUCUGUUAGAGUUUGUGUUCUUCUAAGUUUAACUCCAAGAUUUUAAAUACUUUCAUUUACUGCAAAUGAAUAUCUACUCCAAAUGUCUCACUAAUAAUCAUUAUCAGCCUUAAAAACCCACAAAACACCCCUUUAUACUCGACCACACUUAGUACAGUCCGGUUCCCCCUUCUAUAAAUCUGCUUGGAAUCUUCCACUUCCUGUUUGUCAAAGUGGCCUUCUACCUGGACAGGUUUUGUUGGAGCUCAUGCAACAAACAUUUUGGGUAACUGCACUUUAAUAUGGAUGGAUGACACUGAAUUAGAGUCUGUUUUAAUGAGACUGAGUUAAGAUGUGUAGCUCUGUCAUUAAAUAGGAAAUUAUUUCUCAGAAUUCACAGAGAAAAGUCUGAAAUGUUUGCUAGGUUAGCGUCCCACAUGUUCUUUGGCUCAGCUAAAGCUAACUCUCUCCAACUUCUGGAUCUCUUGAGUUGCUUGUUGUUAAAAUAUCUUGCUAGAGGUGCUGAAGCUCAGAAAGUCUGAGAUGUUUGUUCAAAAUAAGCUCAUUCUCAAGUCUUAUCUGAACUCUUUUGUUUGAACUUUCCCUAAACUUAGGAGUUAAUGACAGAGCAGCACAUCCAGACUGAGUCUCAUUUAUGUAGAGAUUAAACUUCAGUGUCAUUCAUUGAUGUUAAAGUGCAGUUUUUCAAAUGUUUGUUGCACAUGCUCCCGACCAAACCAGUCCAGGUGGAAGACGAUGUGAAGAGAAAGCUCCAGAGGAUGAAUAUCACACAUUUACAUUGGAAAUUAAUGUCCUUUAAUUAGACAUUGUCAUGCAAAAGUUGGAUUUCCCUUUAAUGAUGUUCAAAUCUUUGUUGAGUGUUUUGUUGAUGUUGGUUUCUAAAUGUUUUUUGACACUCGGCCCCAAAGAUUAAAACCUUCUACAGCUCACAAGCUGCAACAAUUCACACAUUAUCAACUAUCUUUCUGACUAAACUAAGAUAAAAAGUGAAAAACUGUCUGAUUCCUGCAUCAUGAAUGUAAAUCUUUUUGGUUUUUAUGACAGUAAACUGAAUAUAUUUGG